GAAAGUUUUAUUCUUGCUUAGCUGUUUACUUUUUGUAUAUUUUACAUGUGAAUUUUUGUGAAUCUAAAAUUUCUUAAAAAGUGUAGGGAUGAAUUUGCAGUAUUUAAUAUUAUUUAUCAAGGGAACUUGGAGUUAGUAAUAUAAUAUGUAGCCGGCUAAAGUCGUGCCAGCCGCCGCGGUUAUACGUAGGGCUAAAGUAAACACUAUUAGUAAUAGAAGUUAAUAGUUU
rnacentral:rRNA from 1 species